AUGCCAGAUAGAGCCCAAACUUCA
rnacentral:siRNA from 1 species